UACGUAGGUGGCAAGCGUUGUCCGGAUUUAUUUGGCGUAAAGCGAGCGCAGGCGGUUCCUUAAGUCUGAUGUGAAAGCCCACGGCUCAACCGUGGAAGGUCAUUGGAAACUGGGGAACUUGAGUGCAGAAGAGGAGAGUGGAAUUCCAUGUGUAGCGGUGAAAUGCGUAGAUAUCGGGAGGAACACCAGUGGUGAAGACGGCUUUCUGGUCUGUUGCUGACGCUGAGGAGCGAAAGCCAGGGGAGGCGAACCGGAUUAGAUACCCUGGUA
rnacentral:rRNA from 1 species